CCUACGGGAGGCAGCAGUGGGGAAUUUUUGUCAAUGGGGGAAACCCUGAACAAGCAACGCCGCGUGGAGGACGAAGACCCUCGGGUUGUAAACUCCUGUCGGACGGGACGAAAGUGACUUGGUUAAUACCCAAGUUAUUUGACGGUACCGUAAGAGGAAGCCCCGGCUAACUCCGUGCCAGCAGCCGCGGU
rnacentral:rRNA from 1 species